CUUGCUCUCCCUGGGCUCUAAACUGCUCGGUUAGGGCUCUGUUCAAACAGCAAAUCAAAGGACACGGGGGGGAGCUCCCCAGUCAUUCUGGCUUUGCAGCUGUCUCACCCUCAUUUCCAUGGAAAGCAGAACGCUGCCAGGAAGCAGCUGAUACUAACCCCCUGUUGCUGGGUUGGGCAUGGGAACGCCCCCUGACUGCGGCUGCCUUUAUAGAGCCCGGCUCCUGGUGUGCUGCUGCUUGUGCCACUCCCCGGAGCUAGCAUGUCACCCAUGCCCAAGGCGGCCUUCGUAGGCAUGCUCCUCUUCUGCCUGUGCCCCGGGCACCGAACAGCCCUGCGGGCCCAGGCAGUCCACGUGCCCACGAGGUGCAUGUGCUUGAAGUUCCAAGAGAAGGUUAAUCCCAGAUUCAUAAUGGAUUUCCAGAUCAUUGAGAAGGGAGCCCACUGCCACCGCCAUGAGAUCAUAUUAACCGUGAAGCAAUGGAGAGGCCCGAGAGAAACGUGCCUUGACUCAUCCAGGAGGCAAGGGAAGAAUCUGCUGCACUGCUGGAAGAGACACCGGAAGGACCCCAGGAAGCAGCGCCACUGCAUGAAAAGGGGGCAGUGACACAGGACCAGGGCAAAGCAGUGAGCACGAUGCACAGGUAAGGCCACGCUCUGGGAUCCAGGGGCAGGCCUCCCGGGGCUCCCCCUGCAUGGGGCCUAGCUGCGGCCACGCGAGAUGAAGCAGGGAGAACUCCCCGCCCAGCUCGUGGCCCACAGCAGGACUUUGAUCCACAGCCUGUCAGCCCAGGCUGCUCUCGCAGUGAGGUGACAAGUGAGUGCGGCCUGGCCAGGCCAGGGUGAGGCUGGGCCAAGAUGUGGGACUGCACACCUUGGGUUUGCCAUACUCUUCCUCCCCAGUUGAGGCUUAUGAGCAGGGUAUCCAUUAUGCAGAGGUAUGAGCCAGAACCUAGGGUUGCCAAUUUUCUAAUUGCACAAAACUGAACACCCUUGCCCGGCCCCUUUCCCUUCCCUGCCCCUUCUUUGAGGCCCCGCCCUCACUCACUCCAGCACCCGUCCCUCCAUCGCUCACUUUUCCCCACCCUCACUCACUUUCACUGCAGGAGCAGGCUCAGGGCUGGGGCAGGGGGUUGGGGUGUGCGAGAGGAUGCAGACUCCUGCUGGGGGUGUGGGCUCU
rnacentral:lncRNA from 1 species